UGAGGAAUAUUGGUCAAUGGGUGCAAGCCUGAACCAGCCAUCCCGCGUGAAGGACGACUGCCCUAUGGGUUGUAAACUUCUUUUGUAUAGGGAUAAACCUACCCUCGUGAGGGUAGCUGAAGGUACUAUACGAAUAAGCACCGGCUAACUCCGUGCCAGCAGCCGCGGUAAUACGGAGGGUGCAAGCGUUAUCCGGAUUUAUUGGGUUUAGGGUCCGUAGGCGGACUUAUAAGUCAGUGGUGAAAGCCUGUCGCUUAACGAUAGAACUGCCAUUGAUACUGUAAGUCUUGAGUAUAUUUGAGGUAGCUGGAAUAAGUAGUGUAGCGGUGAAAUGCAUAGAUAUUACUUAGAACACCAAUUGCGAAGGCAGGUUACCAAGAUAUAACUGACGCUGAGGGACGAAAGCGUGGGGAGCGAACA
rnacentral:rRNA from 1 species